rnacentral:lncRNA from 10 species
CUUGGUGUCACCUCAAGGGAGGGAGUCUGGUGCUUUAGCUCAGGACUACAGGAGGAGCUGGAUUUCACCCUACCGGGACCCACUCUACUGCUUUCUGACCACUGAGUUAAAAACCCACAGUUGCCUGGCUGGCUCUUCCAAUGGGCGUUAUGCACCUGGCACAGAGCAGCUGCUCAAUAAACCUGCAGAAUGAGAAUGAAUGUCUAUCGCUUGCACCAGACUGUAAGCUUUGUUAGAACAAAGAUUCUCUUCUGUUCAUCUUUUUAUUCUCAACAUCUUGCACAGAGCCUGCCAUAUGGCGGGGACAUGGAGGCCCACGGAGUACCUGGCAGGCCCACAGUCCACAGGUUGGAAAGAGGUGCCCAAGCCCUGGACUUUAAGCCUGGGCUCUGACCUUCAACGUUUGCUUUUCACACCACACAUCAUGUCAAUAAAUAGUUACUGGAUGCCUGUUGUGUGCCAGGCCCCAAGACGGGUGUUGCGUGACUGACAACAGAAAAAGCAUCUCAGUGGCGAGGGAUAAGCUAGAUCAUGGGCAUUAGUGUAAAUCUCCCAGGGUUCAAAUUCCAGCUUCUCCACUUCCUGGCUAUGAUUUUUUUUUUUUUUUAGACGGA